rnacentral:lncRNA from 1 species
CACAAUGAUAACCAAAUAGGAAAUGGAUGUGUGAAUUCAGGGGAGAUAAACAAUGUACAGUCCAUGUUUUCUGACAUGAUUAAGUUAUCCUAUGGUUUGACUCUACCUUAUGAAACUUGUAACAGAGUGGAGAAGAUUUAUUGAGAGGCUACCUACAGGAGAUCCACACAGAUUGUCAAAUUACAGUUUCUGGGGACCAUUUCAAAGUUCAUAAGUAAGUUUUUUCU